rnacentral:rRNA from 1 species
GACGAACGCUGGCGGCGUGCUUAACACAUGCAAGUCGAACGGAAAGGCCCUGCUUUUGUGGGGUGCUCGAGUGGCGAACGGGUGAGUAACACGUGAGUAACCUGCCCUUGACUUUGGGAUAACUUCAGGAAACUGGGGCUAAUACCGGAUAGGAGCUCCUGCUGCAUGGUGGGGGUUGGAAAGUUUCGGCGGUUGGGGAUGGACUCGCGGCUUAUCAGCUUGUUGGUGGGGUAGUGGCUUACCAAGGCUUUGACGGGUAGCCGGCCUGAGAGGGUGACCGGCCAAAUUGGGACCGAGAUAACGGCCCGACUCCCUAGGGGGGGAGCAGGGGGGAAAAUUGAACCAAGGGGGGAAGGCUGAAGCAGCAAACCCGCGUGGGGGGUGACGGCCUUGGGGGUUUAAACCGCUUUCGCCCGUGAAGGAAGGUGAGGGAAGGGAAUGGGUAAAGGAGACCCGGCUAAAUAAGUG